rnacentral:rRNA from 1 species
UACGUAGGGUGCGAGCGUUGUCCGGAAUUAUUGGGCGUAAAGAGCUUGUAGGCGGUUUGUCGCGUCUGCUGUGAAAAUCCGGGGCUCAACCCCGGACUUGCAGUGGGUACGGGCAGACUAGAGUGUGGUAGGGGAGACUGGAAUUCCUGGUGUAGCGGUGAAAUGCGCAGAUAUCAGGAGGAACACCGGUGGCGAAGGCGGGAUCUCUGGGCCGUAACUGACGCUGAGGAGCGAAAGCAUGGGUAGCGAACAGG